AUUUUUUUUUAGUAAUAACAACAUUGAUAAAAACAAUGUCAUUUGAAACAUUCUGUCAAGUUUGACAUCGAUGUUUAUUGUUUUGUACGAAAGGAUAAUUAAAAAGUGUUUAAUUUUAAUAUAAAUAAUGGAAACCUUUUCGCCAAAAGAACGUUCGGUAAAUUUUGGAAAAGAAGAGGACAGAUUUAGAAAUUUAAUAGUAAAACAUAAACACAUAUUAUUUCAUAAAAAGACAGACAGUACUAACAAUUUGCAAAAAAAGAGGGCAUGGAGUGCGAUUCAUGCAGAAUUUAAUGCCCUUUCAGAUAAUAAAUAUGAAAAAGAAAUUUUUGAGGUGCGUGUUCAACAUCUAAAUGAGAAGAGGAAGAACGAUGAAAUCAUUUUUAAACUACAAGAAAAAAAAUUACUUACUAUUAAUUAUACUAAAGGGAUGUAAGAUUAUAUGAAACUGCCAUUUCUAAUGUAAAAUGUAUGAAAAGUGGUACUUAUUUACCUUUACAAUAAAAAAUAAACUUACUAUAACUUGUUUAUGAUCAGAAUUGCUUGAAACUUAGUAUAAAUGCUCUUCAAAAUAAUUAAAGUUGUGUGUAUCAAUGUUAUAAAAUUAGUGUAAAAAAUAAUAAAAACUGUAAAAAAAUAGAUUUUUAAGAUGAAUUAAUUCUUAUGUGCAUAGGCAGGCUUAACUAUGUAAUGUUAUAAUUCGGUAAUAAAAAGGCAUAUUAUUUU